rnacentral:sRNA from 2 species
GAGACACCUCGUUCGGUGAGGCGUCUUCACGGACACAGGCCACUGAUCCCACCCGUCGAGAGACGCUCCGGAUCAGGACAGGUCUCCCCGGCCCAAGGGGUGACCCCAAGUGGCUUCCCCGCGAGUGCGGGGAUACGCCGUGGAGUGCCAAAGCUCUGACGAGUUGGGGUGCGCC